GACGAACGCUGGCGGCGUGCUUAACACAUGCAAGUCGAACGGAAAGGCCCUGCUUUUGUGGGGCGCUCGAGUGGCGAACGGGUGAGUAACACGUGAGUAACCUGCCCUUGACUUUGGGAUAACUUCAGGAAACUGGGGCUAAUACCGGAUAGGAGCUCCUGCUGCAUGGUGGGGGUUGGAAAGUUUCGGCGGUUGGGGAUGGACUCGCGGCUUAUCAGCUUGUUGGUGGGGUAGUGGCUUACCAAGGCUUUGACGGGUAGCCGGCCUGAGAGGGUGACCGGCCACAUUGGGACUGAGAUACGGCCCAGACUCCUACGGGAGGCAGCAGUGGGGAAUAUUGUACAAUGGGCGGAAGCCUGAUGCAGCAACGCCGCGUGCGGGAUGACGGCCUUCGGGUUGUAAACCGCUUUCGCCUGUGACGAAGCGUGAGUGACGGUAAUGGGUAAAGAAGCACCGGCUAACUACGUG
rnacentral:rRNA from 1 species